UACGUAGGUCCCGAGCGUUGUCCGGAUUUAUUGGGCGUAAAGCGAGCGCAGGUGGUUUAUUAAGUCUGGUGUAAAAGGCAGUGGCUCAACCAUUGUAUGCAUUGGAAACUGGUUGACUUGAGUGCAGGAGAGGAGAGUGGAAUUCCAUGUGUAGCGGUGAAAUGCGUAGAUAUAUGGAGGAACACCGGUGGCGAAAGCGGCUCUCUGGUCUGUAACUGACGCUGAGGUCCGAAAGCGUGGGUAGCAAACAGG
rnacentral:rRNA from 1 species